GUCUUUUUGAUUAAUAAUUUAAAGUCUAAUCUGCCCACUGAUAAUAUAUUAAAGGGCUGCAGUAUUUUGACUGUACAAAGGUAGCAUAAUCAUUAGUCUCUUAAUUGGUGACUUGUAUGAAAGAUUUAAUGAGAUAUAUACUGUCUCUUUUUGAUUUAUAAAAUUUAAUUUUUUAGUUAAAAAGCUAAAAUAUAUUUAAAAGACGAGAAGACCCUAUAGAGUUUUAUAUUUAUUAAAUUUAAAAUUUUUUAUAAGAUUUAAAAUUUUAAUUUUAAUAAAUAUUUUGUUGGGGUGAUAAAAAAAUUAAAAAAACUUUUUUUAUAAAUUUACAUUAAUAAGUGAAUAAAUGAUCCGUAAUUUACGAUUAAAAGAAAAAAUUACCUUAGGGAUAACAGCGUAAUUUUUUUUUUUAGUUCAAAUAAGAAAAAAAGUUUGCGACCUCGAUGUUGGAUUAAGAUAAAAUUUAAAUGUAAAAGUUUAAAAUUUUUGAUCUGUUCGAUCAUUAAAAUCUUACA
rnacentral:rRNA from 1 species